UACAGAGGGGGCAAGCGUUAUUCGGAAUUAUUGGGCGUAAAGGGCGCGUAGGCGGCAUGGCAAGUGGAUGGUGAAAUCCCUCGGCUUAACCGAGGAACUGCCGUCCAAACUGCUUCGCUUGAGACCGGGAGAGGUGAGUGGAAUUCCCAGUGUAGCGGUGGAAUGCGUAGAUAUUGGGAGGAACACCAGUGGCGAAGGCGGCUCACUGGACCGGUACUGACGCUGAAGCGCGAAAGCGUGGGGAGCAAACAGG
rnacentral:rRNA from 1 species